UACGUAGGUGGCAAGCGUUGUCCGGAUUUACUGGGCGUAAAGAGCGCGCAGGCGGUCGUUCAAGUCGCGUGUGAAAGCCCCCGGCUCAACUGGGGAGGGUCACGCGAUACUGAUCGACUCGAAGGCAGGAGAGGGUAGUGGAAUUCCCGGUGUAGUGGUGAAAUGCGUAGAUAUCGGGAGGAACACCAGUGGCGAAGGCGGCGACCUGGUCCGAUACUGGACGCUGAGGCGCGAAAGCGUGGGGAGCGAACGAG
rnacentral:rRNA from 1 species